rnacentral:tRNA from 1 species
GAGCCCGUAGCUCAAUGGUAGAGCGUUAGACUCAAUUAUUAAAUGUUGCGGGUUCAAAUCCCAUGUGUUCC